rnacentral:lncRNA from 1 species
GGAGCCGCCUCGCCUGUUCCUGACUCAACACCAAAGCUCCCGGCAGAUCCCUCAACUUCUUGAAAGCAGCUAGCCCGAGGUCUGACCCGGUAUUGAUCCUGAAGUGCAGACAGGAGGCAGCCGGAGAAACCGAACGAGACUCCCAUAAUUACAUGGAGAUAAGACUAUCAGGUGUAAUUAAACAGUAUCCACAGGCAGACCACUUGGCUAC